GUAGGUGGCAAGCGUUGUCCGGAAUUAUUGGGCGUAAAGCGCGCGCAGGCGGUCCUUUAAGUCUGAUGUGAAAGCCCACGGCUCAACCGUGGAGGGUCAUUGGAAACUGGGGGACUUGAGUACAGAAGAGGAAAGCGGAAUUCCAAGUGUAGCGGUGAAAUGCGUAGAGAUUUGGAGGAACACCAGUGGCGAAGGCGGCCUUCUGGUCUGUAACUGACGCUGAGGCGCGAAAGCGUGGGGAGCAAACAGGAUUAGAUACCCUGGUAGUCCACGCCGUAAACGAUGAGUGCUAAGUGUUAGGGGGUUUCCCGCCCCCUUAGUGCUGCAGCUAACGCAUUAAGCACUCCGCCUGGGGAGUACGGCCGCAAGGCUG
rnacentral:rRNA from 1 species